UGGGGAAUCUUGCACAAUGGGGGCAACCCUGAUGCAGCGACGCCGCGUGAGCGAUGAAGCCCUUCGGGGCGUAAAGCUCUUUCGACCGGAACGAUAAUGACGGUACCGGGAGAAGAAGCUGCGGCUAACUACGUGCCAGCAGCCGCGGUAAUACGUAGGCAGCAAGCGUUGUUCGGAGUUACUGGGCGUAAAGAGUGCGUAGGCGGUUUUCUAAGUUCGGUGUGAAAUCUCCCGGCUUAACUGGGAGGGUGCGCCGAAGACUGGGAGGCUGGAGUGUGGGAAAGGCAGGCGGAAUUCCUGGUGUAGCGGUGAAAUGCGUAGAUAUCAGGAGGAACACCGGCUGUGUAGACGGCUUGCUAGACCAUAACUGACGCUGAGGCACGAAAGCGUGGGUAGCAAACA
rnacentral:rRNA from 1 species